rnacentral:rRNA from 1 species
GAUGAACGCUAGCGGGAGGCUUAAUACAUGCAAGUCGAGCGGCAAGUUUUGAUAGCAAUAUUGGAACCUAGAGCGGCGCACGGGUGAGUAACGCGUACAUGACCUGCCCUAUACUGGGGGAUAGUCUUGGGAAACUGAGAAUAAUCCCGCAUGUGAUUAGAAUGCUGCAUGGCAAAUUAAUUAAAGCUGAGGCGGUAUAGGAUGGGUGUGCGGAUGAUUAGGUAGUUGGUAGGGUAACGGCCUACCAAGCCGACGAUCAAUAGCUGGCGUGAGAGCGCGACCAGCCACACUGGAACUGAGACACGGUCCAGACUCCUACGGGAGGCAGCAGUAGGGAAUAUUGGACAAUGGGCGGAAGCCUGAUCCAGCCAUGCCGCGUGGAGGAUUAAGGCCCUCUGGGUUGUAAAUAUCUUUUAUCUGGGAAGAAACUCCUCUAUUCUUAGAGGCCUGACGGUACCAGAGGAAUAAGCACCGGCUAACUCCGU